rnacentral:rRNA from 1 species
AUCAACUUUCGAGGUAGGAUAGAGGCCUACCAUGGUGGUAACGGGUAACGGGGUGUUAGGGCACGACACCGGAGAGGGAGCCUGAGAAACGGCUACCACAUCCAAGGAUGGCAGCAGGCGCGCAAAUUACCCAAUCCCGACACGGGGAGGUAGUGACAAUAAAUAACAAUACGGGGUUCUUUAGGAUCUCGUAAUUGGAAUGAGUACAAUUUAAAUCUCUUAACGAGGAACAAUUGGAGGGCAAGUCUGGUGCCAGCAGCCGCGGUAAUUCCAGCUCCAAUAGCGUAUAUUAAAGUUGUUGCAGUUAAAAAGCUCGUAGUUGAAUUUCGGGGUCAGUAGGUCGGUCGUGCCACUGGUAUGAACUGGUUUUACUGAUUCCUCCCUCUUGAAGAACUGUAAUGCCAUUAAUUUGGUGUUGCAGGGAAUCAGGACUGUUACUUUGAAAAAAUUAGAGUGUUUAAAGCAGGCUUUAGCUUGAAUACAUUAGCAUGGAAUAAUGAAAUAGGACGUUUGAUCCUAUUUUGUUGGUUUCUAGGAUUGACGUAAUGAUUAAUAGGGAUAGUUGGGGGCAUUAGUAUUCAAUUGUCAGAGGUGAAAUUCUUGGAUUUAUUGAAGACUAACUACUGCGAAAGCAUUUGCCAAGGAUGUUUUCAUUAAUCAAGAACGAAAGUUAGGGGAUCGAAGACGAUCAGAUACCGUCGUAGUCUUAACCAUAAACUAUGCCGACUAGGGAUCGGAUGAUGUUAAUUUUUUAAUGACUCAUUCGGCGCCUUACGGGAAACCAAAGUGUUUGGGUUC